rnacentral:rRNA from 1 species
GACGAACGCUGGCGGCGUGCUUAACACAUGCAAGUCGAACGGAAAGGCCCUGCUUGCAGGGUACUCGAGUGGCGAACGGGUGAGUAACACGUGGGUGAUCUGCCCUGCACUUCGGGAUAAGCCUGGGAAACUGGGUCUAAUACCGGAUAGGAGCCAUUUUUAGUGUGAUGGUUGGAAAGUUUUUUCGGUGUAGGAUGAGCUCGCGGCCUAUCAGCUUGUUGGUGGGGUAAUGGCCUACCAAGGCGGCGACGGGUAGCCGGCCUGAGAGGGUGGACGGCCACAGUGGGACUGAGAGACGGCCCAGACUCCUACGGGAGGCAGCAGUGGGGAAUAUUGCACAAUGGGCGCAAGCCGGAUGCAGCGACGCCGCGUGGGGGAUGACGGCCUUCGUGUUGUAAACUCCUUUCGCUAGGGACGAAGCUUUUUGUGACGGUACCUAGAUAAGAAGCACCGGCUAACUACGUG